GGGUGGUUAGCUCAGUUGGUAGAGCGUCUGCCUUACAAGCAGAGGGUCAGCGGUUCGAAUCCGUUACCACCCACCA
rnacentral:tRNA from 3 species